AGCGAACGCUGGCGGCAGGCUUAACACAUGCAAGUCGAACGCCCCGCAAGGGGAGUGGCAGACGGGUGAGGAACACGUGGGAAUAUGCCCGUUGGUUCGGAAUAACUCAGGGAAACUUGAGCUAAUACCGAAUAAGCGCGCAAGCGGAAAGAUCUAUCGCCGAAGGAGUAGCCCGCGUGUGAGUAGCUAGUUGGUGAGGUAACGGCCCACCAAGGCGACGAUCAGUAGCUGGUCUGAGAGGAUGAUCAGCCACACUGGGACUGAGACACGGCCCAGACGCCUACGGGAGGCAGGAGUGGGGAAUAUUGGACAAUGGGAGCAAGCCUGAUCCAGCCAUGCCGCGUGAGUGAUGAAGGCCUUAGGGUUGUAAAGCUCUUUUGUCCGGGAAGAUAAUGACUGUACCGGAAGAAUAAGCCCCGGCUAACUUCGUGCCAGCAGCCGCCGCCGUAAGAC
rnacentral:rRNA from 1 species